rnacentral:lncRNA from 1 species
UUGUUGGUACAAUCCUCAGGGCUGACCUCAGCAGAGAUGUUUCCUGGCUGGGUGCGGUGGCUCACACCUGUAAUCCCAGCACUUUGGGAGGCCAAGGUGGGUGAAUCACCAGGUCAAGAGAUCGAGACCAUCCUGGCCAACAUGGUGAAACCCCAUCUUUACUAAAAAUGCAAAAAUUAUCUGGGCAUGGUGGUGCACACCUGCAGUCCCAACUACUUGGGAGGCUGAGGCAGGAAAAUACCUUGAACCUGGGAGGUAGAUGUUGCAGUGAGCCGAGAUCACACCACUGCACUCCAUGUGUCUAAUAGUGUGGUGUAUCUGAGAUCAAGUUGAUAUAUGUUCAUGAAUGUGUAUAUUAAAGAUUAUAUGUAUAAUAUAUGAAUGAGCAUAAAUGUUAAUGCUAUCCACAGAUGUGUAUAAAAUUAUUGUGUGUAUUGGUAUUUAAAACUGGUAUUGGUAUUGGUAAACACGACUGGUAUUGGUAUGUGCUUGUAUAUAUG